GCUUGAACGCUGGCGGCAUGCCUUACACAUGCAAGUCGAACGGCAGCACGGGAGCAAUCCUGGUGGCGAGUGGCGAACGGGUGAGUAAUACAUCGGAACGUGCCCAGUAGUGGGGGAUAACCCGGCGAAAGCCGGACUAAUACCGCAUACGACCUACGGGUGAAAGCAGGGGAUCGCAAGACCUUGCGCUAUCGGAGCGGCCGAUGUCAGAUUAGCUAGUUGGNGGGGUAAAAGCCCACCAAGGCGACGAUCUGUAGCUGGUCUGAGAGGACGACCAGCCACACUGGGACUGAGACACGGCCCAGACUCCUACGGGAGGCAGCAGGUGGGGUAAUUUUCCGCAAGUGGGACGAAAGCCUGACGGAGCAAUACCGCGUGGAGGGAGGACGG
rnacentral:rRNA from 1 species